UGCGUUCCCGCGUUUACUGCAGCUCUCCACAGCGUCGCCUUCUUGUUUUUGUGUGGUGACCAACCCAGAAACGGGAGGAAGGGAAGAGCUGGGAGCACUCUCAAUGCAGGCUCCAGUCAAAGGCCAAAAAAUGGAGGUGGCGGACCUGGACGAAGCUCAGAGCAAGAAAGUUUUCAGAGCAAGAAAAACCAUGAAAAUAAGCGACCGACAACAGCUGGAAUCCAUCCAUAACUCCCACUCCUCCUCGGCCCUCUCCUCUUCCACCGGCGCAACCUCCUCCUCCACGCCCCCGCCCGCCGUAGUGAACGGGAAAGACCCGGAGGAGGAGCAGACAGUGGGAGACAGCCACACAGACACAAACCCGAAAGAGACGCGCCCUACCCCGCCUGCCUCUCGCACCCCGUCUCCCCUCACGCUCUCCCUCUCUCUGUCCCCCUCCCCGCCUUCCCAGUCUCCUCAGCUGCCGUCCGGCAGUAACGCCUGCUUGUCCCCAGCGCACUCUCCCAAAAGUGCGGAGAACGAGAGUGACAGAGAGGAGGGGGAUGGCGAAGGGGAAAAGGAGAGGCCCUCCGUGGCGGAGGGAGUGAAGACGGCAGAUGAGAAGAUGGACGGAGGAGAGGUGAAAGAGAAGGAAGAUAGUGCUGGACCACAAGUAGAAGAUAAAGAGGAUGAAAACCCCAAGCCUGAAGGUGAUGUUUCAUCACCCUUGGAUUCCCCUCAUGACCCCACCAUCUCUCCUGCUUCUCCCACGGCUUUGGAGAGCAAGGACGAGGAGAGCAAGACAGAGACCGGCAAGAGGACAGAAUCUGAGGAGGCGGUGGCCAUGGAUACAGGCCUCGCCCCCAUGGAGAUCGAGGCCCUUGAAGACAACAAGUCCAUCCCUGCCACUGACAUGGUUUCCUCCUCCUCUCCCUCUCCUUCCCCGUCCCAUGCACCCGAGUCUGACCUGGAAGUGAAAGAGGGAUUUCUGGUCCUUAGUGAAGAAGAUGAGAACCAAGGCGAGAAGGAUGAAGAAAAGGAUAAGCAAGAAGUGAAAGAAAUUGAGAGUGGAGAGGAGAUGGAUGUGGAUGUGAAGAAGGAUGAAGAGAAAGAGCACGUCAGUGAUACUGCUCCCCCUUCUCCCACUUCAUCCCCUGCCACUCCCCCUACAGGUGACCCAGAAGCAGACACGGACCACAGCACCCUCUCUGGGAAGAAGCGUACACUGUGUGCAGACUUGGAAAUGGACAGAGAGAACGAGGGAGAAGAAGUAGUGAGAGAGGGGAAGAGGCAGAAGGUGGAAGGGGAGGAGUUGGAGGCGCAGCUGGAGUUGAAGAUCAGAGCCGACACCAGCAGUCGACACAAGCUGGAGAAGGUUGUGCAGCAGCUGGUGGAGGAGCAGCUGCGGGUCUUGCAGCUGAGUGUCUUCGACAGGAGUUUGCAGGAGCUGAGAGAGAGAGUGGAGAAGAUCGACUGUGCCACAAAGCACCAGCAAACCCUCAACUCCCUGCAGGCUAAGAUUGCUCGACUGGCCAAGAAAUUUGGGGCUGCUAAUCAGACCAAGGAGAAUAUCAGGAAACCUCUGGAGGGAACCUUACUUACACCUACUAUGACUACACCCACCUCCACUGCGAGCACCACCUCCACCUUCCGGUCUGUCAGAACAACAAUGGAUUCCAAGCAAAGUAAUCAGAGCCCAGCUACUCGCUCUCUUAGUUCCACUGCCUCUCCAGCUCAGCCCAAGCCCCUGUCGACCCCCGCCCCUCCGGCUUCCUCUCCCCUGGUCUCGGCCGCUGUCCCGCUGCUCAUCACCACCACCACCACCACCACCGCCGCAGCGGCGGCCGCCUCCGACACCACGUCUUCCGUCUCCGGCCUGGCGCCCGUCGCUUCCCAAAACCAGACGGGGACCCUGCUGCUCAAAACCUCCCUCGGCAACGGCGCCGUCGCUCAGAGCCCCGCCCCCGCGUCGGCCCCGCAGCCCGUUUCCCUGCAGCCCCUGCUCAUCCAGCUGCCCCUCGCCGGGUCCGUCGUGACCGGCCGCGGCGCCGGCGUCGAGCUCGUCCCCGUCUCGUCCCUGGGCGCCAGCGUGAGCACGCUCAGCAAAGCCAAAACCACCACCGCCGCUACCUUCAUCCUCCAGAAGGGCUCCCCUUCCUCCUCGGCCCCGUCGCUGCCCUCUGCCCCGGCCCUCCCCCAGAUCACGAUCGCCCGGGCCGUGUACCCGGGGGGCGGCGGCACAGUGAGCGUGCCCAGUUCGGGGGUGUCGGUCUCCACCGCCCGUACCCCGACGCAGUGCGCCUCUGUGGCGGGGGUUACCUCGUCCUCCUCGCUCCCCGUGACUUCAGCACCCGCGGCGACGGGAGGCCUGGCCGCCUCGGCCCCGCCUUCGGCCACCGUGAUGGCCUCCAAAACAGAUAAUCAGGCCACAAACUCUGCUGUAAGCAAGCCACCUGUACAGGUAUCUCGAGCCAGCAGUUCACGGGCAGUUAUAGACCUGACUGAGGAUGAUGAUGACGUACAAGUGACUGGGGUACAGAGGGCUCCGGUGCAGUCUGGCCUCAAUGCAGCUUCAUCUGUUUCCCCGGCAACCCAGCGCAGUACCGGGGCUCCUCCCCCUCUCAUAAGCUCCAGCACCGCACUCGGCCCCGCGACCGGUUCCACGAUGAGAUCUUCUCCACUGGGUGGCCUGCACUCGGUGAAUGGACCACCACUCACCGUUCCCUAUCGCUCCCCACAGAUGCACCAGUCAGUGUGGUUGGCAAAUGCGCCCCCAAAGUUGGCAAGAUGUCAAUCUUGUUGUACCCUUCAUCACUGCCCACUGUGUCCCGUGCGCAAAUUUAAGCCAGCCAAGUUACCACGGGCGGAGAAGCGCAUGGUGCUGCACUUAAAAAGAGCGUUGGCUGUUAAAGAUUACAGGUUAUCCAGGUGCAACAUAAACUGCAGAGGAGCUGGCCAUUACCACUGCCCUCUGUGUGAAAUGACGGGAAUUAAUGGCUACCCGUUUGUUGUUAUGCCUGUGGAGUACAGCCGUGCCAGAUCCGCCUGCCAAACCGGCAGAUGCGCUUCCACCGUAGCCCCCUCAAUGAUGAGAGGGGACCUGGAACCAGUGUUUGUUGCCAGGGAAUGAAAUGAAAUUUUUGGGACGCUCAGGUCAGAUUUGCUUCUCAUUGCUCGGGAGAGAGUGUUUUUCUGUGGCAGUUAUCAAGCGCAGCCCGAAAAGGGUAUGCGUGUUGCGUAAUGUUCAAUUUAUUGCAGAAUUUACUUGACGAUGAUCGCACAAGGAAGGACACCUUUGAUGCGAUUGCUGUGGUGGAGCAACAAAAAGAGGCAUCACCCACGAGAGAAGUUCAUCGGAGAUAUGGUGGUGGCAGUGAUUGCACCACCCGUCCUCUCAUUGGUAGAAGACCAAGCACAAAAGGCUCUGCAGCGCUACAGUUUGGCCUGAGUUGUAGAAAGGGGAUUUGAGUAGAAAUCCUGUAUAAGAUUUUGUUAUUUGGUUUAAGAAAUUAUUUUGUUGAUUAAAUUUAAAUAAAAACCUCUGAUGUUUAAAUCUGUGUUCGUAAGCUCAAUGACUCAAACUUAACACUUCACAUUUUGGAAGAUUUAAACACCUUUUCCUGUCGGUAGAAAAAUUUCCAGUGAUCAUUCACGUUCACAGCAUCAAGUUAUAGCACCUUAGAACUUUUAAUCUACUGAGAAAAAUAAAUUAACAGGAUAUGUGUUACAAUGAAAACACUCAAACAUACUGUCAUGUUCUGUGACAAUCUUUUGAUAAACUGUGGGUAGAGAAACAUACUGUACUACUACAUGGUACUUCUGUAUUGUGCAUAUUGACUCAUCCUGAUGAGUUGAAUUAUGAUAUGUGGUUUCAUUAGUAUAUCAAAAAAUAAUAUCAACCAAUUACCCAGCAAAUACUGGCGCCAUAUAUUGAAGACUUUUGAGGCUUUUUAAUUUAUGGCUAGACCAGGACAGCUUAAAACAGACAAAACAAAAAAAUACUAUUUAAAAAGAAAAAAAAGAAAGAAAACCACUUCCCUUUAUCAGGCGUCAACGCUUUUGAACGUUUCUUUCCUUGUUCUUUAUUUAUGAAAUUUAAUUUAAAAAAUAAUACAAUUUUGUUGUGCUUUCCUAUUUUUUGUCAUCCUUGUCGCCCUCUCUAAGUAACGGACGCAAGUCAGUGUGUUUUGAGAAUGCUUGUGGCCCGACAGUGCGUGUGUUCUCUCAGUGAAUCCUGCAACCAGACCCUAUUGGGAUAUUACUAAGCGAUGGCAGCUCAAGUGGGAAUUUUCAUUUUAAUCAUCUGUGUAGCACCUUCAUUUAAAGUUUAUGUAUUAUUUUUCAACCAGUAUUGCCAGCAGUGUUGAUCAAGAUAACAUUUAGGUGUAAUGUAACAAACUGGCAUUUUCUGCCUGGCAUAAACGUCUUCUCAUAUCACUGCCCUUACCCGUCAUGCAUACUGUUACCUACUGCCCAAUUAUGUGUCCCCUUGCUUAUUUUUUCUGUUUUUUUAAUUAUUUUUUUUUUA